rnacentral:rRNA from 1 species
UCACAACUGACGAUCAGGCACGAAAGCAUGGGGAGCAAACAGGAUUAGAUACCCUGGUAGUCCAUGCCGUAAACUAUGCAUACAAGCUGUAGUGGGGUUUUUCUCCUGCUGUGGCGAAGCUAACGCAAUUAGUAUGCCGCCUGGGGAGUACGGUCGCAAGACUAAAACUCAAAGGAAUUGACGGGGGCCCGCACAAGCGGUGGAUUAUGUGGUUUAAUUCGAAGCAACGCGCAGAACCUUACCUAGGCUUGACAUCCCUUGACAAACGUGGAAACACGUCUUUGUAGCAAUACACAAGGAGACAGGUGCUGCAUGGCUGUCGUCAGCUCGUGUUGUGAAAUGUUGGGUUAAGUCCCGCAACGAGCGCAACCCCUGGAUUUAGUUGCCAGCAUUAAGUUGGGCACUCUAAAUUAACUGCCAGCGUUAAGCUGGAGGAAGGUGGGGAUGACGUCAAGUCCUCAUGGCCCUUACGCCUAGGGCUACACACGUAAUACAAUGGAUAGGACAAAGGGACGCCAACCUGCAAAGGGGAGCUAAUCUCAAAAACCUGUCCUCAGUUCGGAUUGGGGGCUGCAAUUCGCCCCCAUGAAGGCGGAAUCGCUAGUAAUCGUGGAUCAGAACGCCACGGUGAAUACGUUCCCGGGCCUUGUACACACCGCCCGUCACACCAUGGGAGUUGACUCAACCAGAAGUCGCUGUCGCUAACCGCAAGGAAGCAGGCGCCGAAGGUGGGGUUAAUGACUGGGGUGAAGUCGUAACAAGGUAACC